AAGGGGCGCUCCACGGAUUGAGAUCUUUUCUUGUGUCCUCUGUUCUGGGGUCAUGGCGCUUCCCCUUCUCCGACUCCCUUCCUCUCACAACCCUCACCUCUCUCCCUCCUCCCCUUCGUUCUUCUCUCUGCCCUCUCCUUCCCGCGUGACAUGUUCUCCUAGAAGGGCGAGUGGAGUUCUCCUCCUCCUCCUCCGUCGAGAGAUAUCUGCUUUUGCCGCUCUCAGCAGCAGCGCUCCGGCAGCACCAGUGGAAACGGCGGAGAGCUCGGGGGCGGCUCGAACGAGGCUGAUCGCCCAAAACGUACCUUGGAACUGCACGGCCGAUGACAUCAGAACUCUGUUCUCGAAGCACGGCACUGUCGUCGACGUUGAGCUGUCGAUGUAUAACAGCAGCAGAAAUAGAGGAUUGGCAUUCGUAACAAUGGCCUCGGAGGAGGAAGCACUAGCAGCACUUAGUCAUCUGAAUUCAUAUGAUUUAGACGGUCGUGUGAUCAAGGUGGAAUUUGCAAGAUCUGUGAAGAAGGCUCCUGUUGUGGCAGCAGGUCCUGUUCCAAAGUAUAAUGUGUUUGUGGGCAAUUUAACUUGGAGGGUAAGAUCUCGGGAUCUUCGAGAAUUAUUUAGUGGCAGUGGGAACAUCCUAUCUGCUGAAGUCAUCUUCCAAAGCAAUCCAAGAAGAUCAGCAGGCUAUGGAUUUGUCUCGUUCGCAUCAAAAGAAGAAGCAGAAGCUGCAAUAACCACUCUGAAUGGAAAUAAGUUGAUGGGAAGACGCAUUCGUUUGGUGUUGGGUAAGGAUCAAGCAGUUGAUGCUGAAAACAAGGUGGAUACCUAUGAGCAAUCAGAUGAGAUAUCAGAUGAGGUAGAUGCUAGCUGAGAGCAACCAGAGCCAGAUGAGACAUGGCUGAAGAAAAUUGAGAUAUCAAAGAAGACCUUGAAGCUACCUUGGUGGGUUGUGUACUGCUUUAGAUGUUUGACUCGAUCUCACUCGACCUGUUCAUGAGCUAGCAUCUAUGGGUUUCAAUGGUUUGGUCUUUCUUCAAUGACUUGAAAGCUUGGCGGAAAGAAUCAUGGACCUGGAACUGCACCAUAAGCUCAUUGAUGAAUGCAACAAAACCAUAGUGAGAAGUGGAGGGUGUUAAAGCAUGAACAAUGUCAAGUCUAAGAAAGAAACAGGUUCAUCUCUCUUCAGAGUGCACCAGGACUUCAUUGUGAAGACCAUCCGCUUCCUGCUUGCCUUUGACUGAAAACAAUGACAUGAACUGAUCGGAACCAGAGGCCUGAGGAUUGAUUGACCCAAGAAACUAAAGUUGAUGAUAUUAAAAAAGGGUUCACAAGGAGAAGAUUGAGUGUGAGUCAAUAUAGGACAAAAAUCAAGUUGGCCUCCCACCCAACUUGCCUAUAUUUAUGUUAUUAGAUGUUGUUAGAGAUGAUUCUGGAUGGGUCCUCCGAGUCAAGUUUUAAUUUAGUUCUUUUUCGA